ensembl:snoRNA
AUCCUUUUGUAGUUCAUAAGUGUGAUGAUUGGGUUUUCAUGCUCAUGUGUGAAAUGUGCCUUUCUCAAACCUUGUUAUGACACUGGCACAUUACCUAUCUGAUG